AUGGAAAAUGAGUUAAAAUUGGUAGAGACUGACUGGUGUUGGCUUGUAAGAAAGGAUUUCAGGAUGAAAGGAGAAAAUGAGAAGAGAUUUUUAAAUUGGCAACAAUUUAAUGAACUUUCUUUCAAUUACAAUUAAUUUAAUUCCUUUGAUAAGAAAUUUAGAUGACGGAGAAAAUAAUCUCAAUCAAUUUGACCUUAGAAGUGUAAAUCGUGAUUGAUUUGAUUGAUUUGUUUCCAAUUAACCAGAAAAUUGUAAACGACAAUCAGUUGAUUAACUUGAGAGAGAGAGAAAAGAUGUGACAUAAUUUAAAAAUGAAUAGAAAAUGAAAACUCACAGUUAAUUGUCAGAGAGAAAAAGUAAUCAUUGGAUUGUUGGUGUCGUUUAAUGAACAACGAAAAAAAAAACUGUAAAUCAAAUCAAAGUCACUAAUCAAGUUGAUUCAGUUUGAUAUCAAUUAGUUUCACCGAUUAAUGUCCGUCAUUGUCAGUUGAUUGUUUUCCUUUGCCAAUUGUUAAUUCUGCUGAUUGUUGUUCAAUUUUUUUUUCUCAUUGUAACUUCUAAAUUCAAUGGUUAUCAUUAGCAAUUUAUUUUCUCUCUGAAAGUUAUUUUAUUUUCCAUUGAUUGUGAUCCAAUCAAUUGUCUAAUUACUUUACAAAUUAUUCGCAACAAAUAUUAGUUAACCUUAAUUCCUUGUGAUACCUUCAUCUUCACCACCAUCGUUAUAAUUACAAUUAGUGUAUCAAAUUAUUAAUCUCUAACUGUGGUUAAUUGUUGUUCAUCAUUUUCUCAGUGUUGAUAUUAUUUUGUUACUCUAAUUGUUUUAGAAUAGAAAACAAUCAAUGUCUCCUAAAUCGUUUUUCAUUGAUACAAUUGAUCGGCUAUCGGUCAACAAGAUGAAAUCAACGUAUGAAAAACUUGACCCAUCAAAUGUUGACCACGAUAAUAUGGACUAUUCAUCUUUGGUUGACGAUUCGACACCAAAUAAACGACCUAAGGCCGAUAAUCAAUCAAUAUCAUCAUCGAUCAGUUUUGAUAAAAUAUUCAAGGACAAUCCAAUUUAUCGUAAAAUUGAUGCUUGGCUUCAUCCAAAAGAACAUGGAAUCAUCUCUAAGGUUGAUACUAAUUAACUAAAUUGUACCUUCAUUAUUUCUGAUUAUAAUUAAAUUCCCAUUUCCCAAACAAUUAAUUUUUCGAUUUUCAAUCAACUUAAUCAUCACAUAAUAAGAGUGAAUCUUUAAUUUCAA